AGAGUUUGAUCAUGGCUCAGGAUGAACGCUAGCGGCAGGCCUAAUACAUGCAAGUCGAACGGUGUAGUAAUACACAGUGGCGCACGGGUGCGUAACACGUAUGCAACCUACCUAUUAUUGGGGGAUAGCCUUUGGAAACGGAGAUUAAUACCGCAUAAGACAGUGACAUGGCAUCAUGUAGCUGUUAAAGCUUCGGCGAUAAUAGAUGGGCAUGCGUCCAAUUAGUUAGUUGGUGAGGUAACGGCUCACCAAGACGAUGAUUGGUAGGGGAUCUGAGAGGAUAAUCCCCCACACUGGCACUGAGAUACGGGCCAGACUCCUACGGGAGGCAGCAGUAGGGAAUAUUUGGCAAUGGACGGAAGUCUGACCCAGCCAUGCCGCGUGCAGGAUGAAGGCGUUAUGCGUUGUAAACUGCUUUUUUAUAGGAAGAAGACUCCCUUGCGAGGGAAAGUGACGGUACUAUAAGAAUAAGCACCGGCUAACUCCGUGCCAGCAGCCGCGGUAAUACGGAGGGUGCGAGCGUUGUCCGGAUUUAUUGGGUUUAAAGGGUGCGUAGGCGGUUUAUUAAGUCAGUGGUGAAAGACGGUCGCUCAACGAUUGCAGUGCCAUUGAUACUGGUAGACUUGAGUUCGUAUGAGGUAGCUGGAAUGGAUAGUGUAGCGGUGAAAUGCAUAGAUAUUAUCCAGAACUCCAAUUGCGUAGGCAGGUUACUAAUACGAUACUGACGCUGAUGCACGAAAGUGUGGGGAUCAAACAGGAUUAGAUACCCUGGUAGUCCACACUGUAAACGAUGAUGACUAACUGUUUGCCCUUU
rnacentral:rRNA from 1 species